rnacentral:misc_RNA from 1 species
GAUGCACGGCUCCAUACGGAGAUAUUCUCUCUGAAUUAGCGAAUAACGGAAGACUACACUCGUUCACAAAUUCCCUAGGAAAAUACUUGCCAGUGUACAUAUAUGCGGUGCUCUGGUUGUUCAGGUUCGCCGCACUGAACCGCUUCAGGGCGCUGAGCUAGGCGGGGAUCCAUUCCCGCUGCCCCUGGCAUACGAGUCGCUAUCGUCGACAGUUCCCCAGUGUUUAGGUGUCAUGCCUAUCUGGCGUACGAAGCGAUGUUCGUGGUAGCUCGCUCCACAGAGCCUCUCGCGACGCUCUGGAUGCACGACACUUUGUCGGUUGUCGAUCGAGACGUUCAAGCGUCGGUGCAGAGAACGCCUAGCGCCGUGCGCUACCAAGUCCACGACCCGACGUGUCGUUCAUUUCCGUUCCCAAACCGGUGCAGAGGCUUUCUCUUGAUUGCACGCUUCCUGGCUCCGGAUGGCCGAGACCGGGGCGACUCCAGCGCCGUCGUCAUGGACGUCUGCCACGGGAUGCUCGUGUGACCUCUCUGGAAGCUCCUGUACGGACUGCAUGGAGCGUGCAAGGCAUCCCGCGCUGCUCGGCCCGGUGCGUAGCGUGUCGGGUGAGCACCCGGCGCCUGCAUGUUGCUUCUUUGUAUGCCACGUGGCGUCCACAGCGCUCGACUUUCGAAGAUUCCGGGCACAGGUCGAGCUGAGCAGCUCCGUCUGGUUUGCUGGUCAGGCGUUCGGCUCCGUGCUUUUGGUUGCUCCGUGUGCGGCGACAGCCGUGAAGCGCCUUACCCGCGGAUAAACGCUGAAACUAGAAUCUUUUUCCUGGUCUACCUGGAUCGGUUGAGAAAGAGUCUCGUUGCGCACCGCUGGGCGAGGCCUCACCAAGUGCAUCCAGACUGAUGGUUUGUCGCUCUGCAUGCUCCCGCAGACCGUUCUUCAUUUCCUGGGAGCAAACGAGAAACAUGGAAUGAGCGCCACAGACGCUGUUUGCGAAUCUGUUCCAAUGCAUCGUCGUUUCUUGCCAAGACCAACCGCUAAAAGAGCGGACGAUAUCCACUGGCAAGCAAUUCGAUACCAGUGUCGUUCGGCCUUCAUGAUAACCGUUGGAAAGGAGGAUACGAUUUCCGUAUCUUCCAACGUUUGCCUUCUAUGCCGAAGUGCCCGUGUGCCGGACGAGUAUGCUGGGCCAGUGCUGCAUGCUGCCCCCAGGGGUGGGUGCAGUUGCGCCACCUGAACAACUCGCCCGCAAUGCAGUUGAUUCUCGGAUUCAGGGCAGUUCGGGUGUGUCUCGAAGUCGCCCAGGUUGCAGUUAUCUCCUAGUACACCGCAUCGCGCUGCCGCAUGCAGUAGGUCUGUCUGCGCAGUUUGCAGGCGCCCAGAAUGAUGUAGAGUGCCGACCCCGUGUCGGAUGAACGACGCCUCGAGCCGACAUGCCCAUUGGUAUGGCAACGCUGCUCUGUCUUUGUAUUGCAUCCGCACUUGCGGUAUAAGCGCUACAACGGGUGCAGCACUGCAUGCACUCGGCGCGAGAGAUACCAUAACAAACGACCAGUGUAUCCUAAAGAAAGUAUGGGCCAUGGAACCUGAAGGUACAGUGCGUCAUGAUGAAUACGUUCCCGAAUGCCUAUAUCCCUCAUUUGAUCUUGGGUAUACGUUCAAU